GUCGUACAGGUCUCCGUAGGUGAACCUGCGGAGGGAUCAUUACACAAAUAUGAAGGCGGGCUGGAACCUCUCGGGGUUACAGCCUUGCUGAAUUAUUCACCCUUGUCUUUUGCGUACUUCUUGUUUCCUUGGUGGGUUCGCCCACCACUAGGACAAACAUAAACCUUUUGUAAUUGCAAUCAGCGUCAGUAACAAAUUAAUAAUUACAACUUUCAACAACGGAUCUCUUGGUUCUGGCAUCGAUGAAGAACGCAGCGAAAUGCGAUAAGUAGUGUGAAUUGCAGAAUUCAGUGAAUCAUCGAAUCUUUGAACGCACGUUGCGCCCUUUGGUUUUCCAAAGGGCAUGCCUGUUCGAGCGUCAUUUGUACCCUCAAGCUUUGCUUGGUGUUGGGCGUCUUGUCUCUAGCUUUGCUGGAGACUCGCCUUAAAGUAAUUGGCAGCCGGCCUACUGGUUUCGGAGCGCAGCACAAGUCGCACUCUCUAUCAGCAAAGGUCUAGCAUCCAUUAAGCCUUUUUUUUUCAACUUUUGACCUCGGAUCAGGUAGGGAUACCCGCUGAACUUAAGCAUAUCA
rnacentral:rRNA from 1 species